UGCUAUUGUCCUCCCGCGACGGUGCGAAGCU
rnacentral:piRNA from 1 species